rnacentral:rRNA from 1 species
GACAGAGGGUGCAAACGUUGUUCGGAAUUACUGGGCGUAAAGCGCGUGUAGGCGGCCCUGCAAGUCGGGUGUGAAAUCCCAUGGCUCAACCAUGGAAGUGCACUCGAAACUGCAGGGCUAGAGUCCUGGAGAGGAAGGUGGAAUGCUUGGUGUAGAGGUGAAAUUCGUAGAUAUCAAGCGGAACUCCGGUGGCGAAGGCGGCCUUCUGGACAGUGACUGACGCUGAGACGCGAAAGCGUGGGGAGCAAACAGG